GCCAAUCAUAUCUUAAUUUCUAUAGAGGUCGUGCAUCAUGGGCAUCUUAUGUCGGUUGCUCAUAUGAUGCACCGCUGACGUAGUGCGUAUGUUGCAUAUAGUAUAAUUUUUGAAAAAAAAAAAGAGAAAAAUGAAAAUUUCAAAUCCAAUUAGCUUUUGAAUUCAAGAUAGGCCAACUCAAGGAUAACAAAAUAGCAACCCCACGUAAGUUUGGUACAAACUGCAAAUAGAAC
rnacentral:lncRNA from 1 species